UACGUAGGGUGCGAGCGUUAAUCGGAAUUAUUGGGCGUAAAGGGCGCGUAGGCGGCUUGAUGUGUCAAAGGUGAAAUCCCUCGGCUCAACUGAGGAACUGCCUUUGAAACUGUCUGGCUUGAGGCCGGGAGAGGGUAGCGGAAUUCCCAGUGUAGCGGUGAAAUGCGUAGAUACUGGGAGGAACACCGGUGGCGAAGGCGGCUACCUGGACCGGUUCUGACGCUGAUGCGCGAAAGCGUGGGUAGCAAACAGG
rnacentral:rRNA from 1 species